GCUUCUGUAGUGUAGCUGGUUAUCACGUGUGCCUAACUCGCACAAGGUCCCCGAUUCAAGCCCGGGCGGAAGCA